GACGAACGCUGGCGGCGCGCCUAACACAUGCAAGUCGAACGAGCGAGAGAGAGCUUGCUUUCUCGAGCGAGUGGCGAACGGGUGAGUAACGCGUGAGGAACCUGCCUCAAAGAGGGGGGACAACAGUUGGAAACGACUGCUAAUACCGCAUAAGCCCACGGCUCGGCAUCGAGCAGAGGGAAAAGGAGCAAUCCGCUUUGAGAUGGCCUCGCGUCCGAUUAGCUAGUUGGUGAGGUAACGGCCCACCAAAGCGACGAUCAGUAGCCGGCCUGAGAGGGUGAACGGCCACAUUGGGACUGAGACACGGCCCAAACUCCUACGGGAGGCAGCAGUGGGGAAUAUUGCACAAUGGGGGAAACCCUGAUGCAGCGACGCCGCGUGAGUGAAGAAGUAUUUCGGUAUGUAAAGCUCUAUCAGCAGGGAAGAAAGUGACGGUACCUGAAUAAGAAGCCCCGGCUAACUACGUG
rnacentral:rRNA from 1 species